CCCCUGGGAUAGCCUGCCGAUAUCCACCACUCAAGCUCUGAUAGCCGCUAUAGGAUCCAUCAUUCUAGCUCUGACAACCACUACUCUGACUCCAACAGAUGCUAACCACCUAGUACACCCCUUCUCCUGAGAAAAGAAAAACAAGAGGAAAAAUAAGGGGGAUUCCUUUUGUCUAAGGAGGAGAGACUCCCAUUCUCAUCACCUUCUUCUACUAUUCUCUCUCUCCGAUUGUUAUUGACUUAACCAUCAAAAGAUAUCCUGUUGAAGAACCCCCACCUUGUUCUCUAUGUUAAGA
rnacentral:lncRNA from 1 species